CAAGUGUAGGUGUAGACAGAUACAAGCCUUAGAGGAUCCCUCCUUACAACCAAUUCCUAUUCUAGGAUAGCAAAGAUCCCUGAUGAUUUCAGCGUGCCUACCAGAACAGCUCAUGGGUUUGUGCACCAGAAGAGCUGGUGCCUUAAGCCUUUUCCAGGUUUACAUGCGAACCUUCAGCCAGUCAUUUGUCAGCUCUGUGCCUCUUCCCAUCUGUAUAAUGAUAGUGGCCUCCUAUAGAAAAACAUUUGGUCAUGAGAGGAUGGCCAAAUGCUGCCAGGGUAUGUCCACGCCACAUUUCGGAAAUGGGAUGACUGCAUGCCUAGGCCUACUCAAAGCUGGCUUUAUACUCAGAGGCACCAGUGUCUGAAGUGAACUGAAGAAAAAUCAGUUACUUGCAGAACUUUGUGAGUUUGGAGUCCGCUGGCAGCAAUCCUCGCAAAGGCAGACACAACUGUGGAGUUACUGACUGUGGGGGUUACCAAAACCAACCUGUGCUUGUGAUCCAGUCAUUAUAUCCAGGAUUCAAAACAGCUUCCUUACAGAAGAAACCACACAGAUUUUCUAUGUCUUUUAGUUUCUGAGCUUGGGGGCAUGAUCAUCGCCGUGACCUCGCUGCCCGAGCCAGAGCCCAGGACAGCAAGGCAUUUGCAGGUGUCUGCAAAGUGGGCUUCUUGCUAUGCUGAUGCUUCAGGAUGGCAGAUUUCCAUCCCAGUGAGAGGAUAAGAUAAGCCUAAAAUGUAUUUUCUGUAAUGGAUGGAAAAAUUCUUGCUCCUAAAGACCUUACAGACUGUGAAAACUGCUGCAAAGCAGUACAAUGUCACCACCAAACCCAGGAGCCCAAGCACUGAGUGCAGCACUGCAAAUAAAGGAUUUUGCUAGUCUCUAGCUGAACUGAAAAAUGGUCAUGAAAUAGCAGGAUGAUACUCGGUUUCCUUCCUUCCAAACAACAACAACGACAACAAAAAAAAGAAAAGAAAACAAAAAAAGAAAGAAUAAUAGUAUUAAAAUCAAAUAGGACUAAAUUUUCUAGAGUUCUUGUCUAAAACACAUAGAUCCAUAAGCAAGUUUUCUGUGAACUUGUAUCCUGUGAUUGAAGCAGUGUUUGGAGCUUCGUCUGCAACUGCAUUCUGCUCUGUAUGCUUUGGAAUCUAAU